rnacentral:lncRNA from 1 species
AAUAGUCAUCUCAAGAUAGAAGUAUUUAUAGAUGCAGAUUGGGCUAGCUCUCUUGAUGACAGAAGGUCUACAACAAGUAUUAUACUAUUGUGGAAGGAAACUUAGUCGUUUGGAGGAGCAAGAAACAAAAUGUUGUGGCUCGACCAAGUGCAAAGUGUAAUGACCCAAAAUUCACGGGCAUCGGAAAAGUAUAAUAUCGGGCCUCCGUCUUAGUAAAUUGAGUUCAAAAAUAAUUAUUAGAAAUAUUUACUAGACUAGUUGUGUGUUUAAUUAGGUUUUAGAUAGGUGAAUUUAGCUUAAUUAAGAGUAAUUAGCAAAAAGGAUUAAAUUACAAUAGAAGUGAA